CGUCUAGGUUGUUGAAAAAGUUGGAUGUGAAAUCCCACGGCUCAACCGUGGAACUGCAUCCAAAACUAUUUAGCUUGAGUCCAGGAGAGGGGAGUGGAAUUCUCAGUGUAGCGGUGGAAUGCGUAGAUAUUGAGAAGAACACCAGUGGCGAAGGCGACUCCCUGGCCUGAGACUGACACUGAAGCGCGAAAGCUAGGGGAGCGAACAGGAUUAGAUACCCUGGUAGUCC
rnacentral:rRNA from 1 species